UACGUAGGUGGCAAGCGUUGUCCGGAUUUAUUGGGCGUAAAGCGAGCGCAGGCUGUUCCUUAAGUCUGAUGUGAAAGCCCACGGCUCAACCGUGGAAGGUCAUUGGAAACUGGGGAACUUGAGUGCAGAAGAGGGAAGUGGAAUUCCAUGUGUAGCGGUGAAAUGCGUAGAGAUAUGGAGGAACACCAGUGGCGAAGGCGGCUUCCUUGUCUGUAACUGACACUGAGGCGCGAAAGCGUGGGGAGCAAACAGGAUUAGAUA
rnacentral:rRNA from 1 species